AGAACAUUGUGGUGUGAUUGAAAGGUUGCUGCUGGGUUCGUGGAGUGCUUUCGAUUGGACAGCGUGGUUCCCCCCUUCCCCUCCACCCUCUCUUCCCCACCCACCCAUCCCGGUGCGCAACUCUCCUUCCAUGUCAAACCACACGCGCGAUCCCGUCCUCAUUUCCAUUUCCCCCUUUCCUCCUAGUCAAAGCCUCUCGACACGUCGUGACGGUGCCGGCCCGUCGUUUGCACACACGCACCUCUCUCUCCCUUCACUGUAUCCCUUGCGUCUACCUUUCCUCCUCCCUUUUCCUCUCCCUCUUUCCUUCUGUGCCUAAGGAGGCGUACCGCAGAAGCGCGUGCGUUGCUCUGUGUGUGGGCGCCUUUAUUAGUAUUUGUUGUUGACUAUUUGAUUAUUAUUAAUCUUACUCUCUUCGCGUGAGUGUGUGUGCCCGAAUUGGCGAGUAGGCGUCGGAGGAGCACUGGCAAGGACCUUCCCUGUGUGUUACCAUCCUUUCUUGUUUCUUUCUUGUCGUUGCCUUCGGUACGCGAAACCAAACAAGAAGAAGCGGUACCGCCGAGCAACCACCAAGAGGUCUUCAGAGGGUGACAGCGCACAGUCGCUGGGCCUUUCGGGAUUUGUGCAGCAACGUUCUUUGUCUUCUCUAUCAAAAAAAAAAACAGAAAACAAAAGACGCACAGGCUACCGCAAAGCUGCCAGGAACGCAAGCCAUCAUAAAAAAGGCGGAAGUAAUAUAAAUACGAUACGACACCAGACUCAUACUCACACGCACACCCACACCUCUGCUCAUUGUACUUCUCUCGCGACUUGGUCGUCCACACUCUUGUGGUCUGUCUUGCUGUCUUGGAGUUGUUUGCAGCACACCCUCUCUCUAUAUAUUUGUGUGUGUGUGUGUGUCAUCAUUACGCUGUCGUUGUAAUCGGUGUUGUCGCUCUUUUUUUGUCUUGGCUAUCGGCAUCUCCCUCCUUCGUUUGUUUGUGGUGUCUCUCCGUACCACGGUCACCACCAUCCCCACCCCUUCGAUCACUCCAGCCGGGAUUCCGCGUAUCACUUCUGUUGUUUGUAUCACUGUCUUGCUUGCUUUCUUUCCAACCGAUUCGUUGAGCAUUACUGUCGCCCCGUAUCUUCCUCUCUCGUUUCUGCUGCUUCGCGUUGUUUGCACCCUUGUCCUCUGAAGUCACAUACACGCACACCUUCCUAUCUUCCUCCCCCCCCCGUCUAGUCACCUCUCCGCAUCUGCGCCGAGGUGUGCCGUCACGUGCUUCUCACACGUGCAACUUGAGCGAGUCGGCGCUCCGACGGCUACGUAACCUGAAAAGCCAGCCAGAGGCGUUGCCAAAUUAAAACAAAGAAAAAAUAGCGACACAUCGGUUCGUGGGCAGGCGAAGCAGCAGCAAAAAAAAAAAUCGAAACAAAAAUGUUCCGCGUGUUCUCAGGUAGUUGCAUGUCCCUCGAGGACAUGGACACAGUUCUGCGUUCCAACUUAGUAGAGCACCCGCACUUGCUGGGCCCUGGCGCAGACUUCUUCACUGAAUCCGGCGAGCCGGUCCGCCCGCAGCCUGGGGCGCACACGUUCCAAAAGGUUUUCUCCGGCAGCGCUCUUGACCUGAACGCUGGCAAUGCGGAAGUCUCUGAUGAAGACGUGACGGCGACAAGCCCGCUGGGGCAGGGGUCACGCGUCAUCCCACCCAGUAGCAUCCUGAAUCAAAUCUCCACGGAAAACGAAAAAGAGAAGGCCCGCGCCGCGAAGAUGAAGAUCCACGUUCUCGUGGUCGGCGAGAGUGGAUACUUGGCGAGUCACGUUGUGGCCAAACUGCUCGAUGCAGGGUACAGCGUACGCAUGACGGUUCCGGAUGCCGCGCGACAGCAGAAGCAGAUAGACCUCUACGGCGCGAGCCGCGAUGUGGCCCAGCGCCUCACCAUCCUGCAGGCAGACGUCACAAACUCCAACUCGCUGCGUGAUGCCAUCCGCGGUUGCCGUUACAUAAUUCACUGUGGGUGUUCUAGCGCUUCCCCGCAGGCGAAGGACCUGGUGGCGCUCUACACCAAGGCGAUCCGAGCUCUUUUUGAUGGCAUUCGCCUCUCCGGCAAGUCGACAGUGAAGCGAGUCGUACUCACCGGCGCCGCGUCAUCGAUUGUGCAUAUCACGGAGUGCGACCCUCCGUCGGGACUGUUUGAUGAGAGCAACUGGAACAGCGUAGCUACCCCCGAGGAUGACCCGCUGCCUUUUGCGAAGCUUGUCUUCGAGCGGGAGGCCUGGCGGCUGCGGCAGAUGAUGGGCGUGGAGUUGGUGGUGUUGCUCCCCUCUAUCUCCAUCGGUCCAAGUCUGACAGACGAGACAAGUGAGGCGAUGGUCACCAUCGAAGGGCUCGCGAACUCUUCCAAGUACUUUCCGUUCUGUCCGAACCUUAGCUGGAACUUUGUAGACGUGCGCGACGUCGCGGACGCGCACGUGCGUGCGCUGGAGGUGGCAGAGGUGCGGGACCAGCGCAUCAUCAUCUCCAACGAGUGCGUCAGCUUGCCAGAGCUGUGCCGCAUGAUGAAGCAGCUGUGCCCGCAGUUGACACCCCCAACGCACACGGCGUGGACGUUUGUGACGCUCGGUAUUGCAACGGUAGUGCUGUGGAACAGCGUGAAUCUUCGCUUUCUGUGGCGCAGUCUGGGCGUCCGCAAGCGCCUUGACAACCGCCGCGCCAAGGAGCAGCUCGGCGUUUCCUUCACACCCAUGCAGCAAACCCUUCGCGACUGCCUAGACCAGAUGUCGCGGUCGGCCAAGGCAAACGCAGACGCCGAGGCGGCUGCCGCGGCGCAGCGCACGUCCACUAACGGCAAGCGGAAGGCUGCAGCUGCCCCGUCCUCCUUGCGACUGGUCAGCCCUGCGGUGGUGCUGUCCCUGUUCACUCUCGCCGCUGCCGGCGCGGCAGUGGCGCGGUACGUUAAGCGAAAGUGAGAGGAGCAUGAGCCCAGCAGUUGAAGCGAAGAUGAAGACACCGGUGUCAGACCUUGCGCGGCCGUGCAAGAUGCUCUGCUGCUCGCUGCCCCCUUGCGCUUUUCGUUGUACCUUCACUGUCUGUGUGUGUGUGCGUGCGUGUCUCCGAUCUGCCCCGGCUAAGGCCCGCCCGCCACCUCUUCGUUGUUUUGAUGCUUCGGUUGGUGUGCUCGUUUUUUUUUUCGUACUUCCUUUCAUCUCCGUUCCUGAUCUGCCUUUGCUUCUUCUUGUCCCUCCCCCGAUACACGUGCAUCAACACCACCCUGCCUGCCUACUGUGCGUCGCUGGUUUCUAUAUUUUCCCUGGGCUCGUCUCUGCUGGGCCCUGUGUUCUCGUUUCCUUUGAUCUUCGUCUUCUCUCUGUAUCUCCACACUACUUCUUGUAGCGCUAAGCUGCCCCCCCCCUCUGCCAGCAUCAAUGUGAGCAGGCGAUGUCGGAAUCACGACGAGGGAGCGAAAGAGGAGGGGAUACCGUACAUGCAUACACAGACACAUUGUGGAACGCCCCUUCUGGCCUCUCGCUCUCCCCCUUACAUCGCGUGCCUUCUCUCUUUUUUUUCCUGUUCACGCGUGUGCCUGUUCGCGAACGAUUGAUGUCUCCAACCAUGUUGAUUUCGCGAACCUCAGCCAGGCGGUUGAGCUGCUGCCUUUUUGUUUUCGUGGCCGCGUUUCUAUUUUUGGUUUUCUACUCGCUGCCGCUCCCUGUGCGAAAUGGAUGCGCAGGAGACAAGAGCCGAAGCAAGCGCAGGCCAUGGUGAGUAGUCAGAGGGAUGAGCGAGAGUGGCGAGAGCAAGAGCAAGGAGAUGGUGGGCAUUAUCACUGACGCCUUCCAUAAACUCGCUGCUGCUCGCUUAUUCGUGCGCGAUGCAGACGAUCGCGUGAACCAAAGCAAAGGAAAGGGCCACUCGGCAUAAACAGCACGUUCUCUCGCAUGAAUCGUACGUCCUCCCACCCACACCCACACCCACCGCUCGAGCUCGCUUCCUUGUUUCCGGUUUCUAUUUUUGGUUUCUGUAUUGAUAUCCACCUAUAAUGGCGGAAGUCGACAGAUGCAGGCAGCGAGCCCUCCUCCAAAGACAAGGACGUGCCCGUGGAAGAUGGCCCGAGAGCGCGAAAACGCGAGCACUGCGCGCAGGUGCUCUCGGGUGCAGCUGGCAUAGUGUAUGACGCCCAUGCAAGGCAGCGGGGUGUCAGCAGAGCAGCAGCCACGGACGGCACAGGCAAGAGGGGAUCCGCCACACUGAUACACCGCAAAGUGCGCAUAUGCGCGACUGACGGCAUCUGCUGCGUCCGGCUGGUGUAAGCUGAUGAGGAACAGGUGCACGUAGGCGUGUGGAGCUCCACCCGAUCACCGAACUGCGCCGUCGGGUCCUCCAGACUCCCAUGUGGGAGGGUCGCCGCAUCACAUUGUGGAAUGCCGCGGCCUGAGGCGCCUUCCUGCUCGAGCUCACCCGGCAUGUACGCCGGCCACCCACCUCUUUCCUCCCCCUACCGUGUUACCCGCGGCACGGACACCCCCGCCACUGCCGUGGAGCAGGGCCCUGGACGCGGCCCGGUGCAACUGCAGCCGGCCCGCCCUCGACGACCAGGAUGUGGGCGUCGCGCGACAAUGGCCGGGUGAGCUGUGAUUAGGUGCGUGUGUAGUCGUGGACUUUGCACGGGGUGCAAGGAGCAGUUGGAUAACAAAAUAUCCUCUAGUCGGAUGCCUGCUUGCUUGCCGUCGCUCUUGGUGUUUUAUUUCACAUCCGAGACUCGACAGUCGUUCCCACGGCGCUCCCCUUUGUUCGUGUCGGCGUGGAAACUUAUGGCGCUAAGAGAGGAAGUGCGAGUGCGGUCAAAAGAGACCCACGGAGGAGGGAAUGCACGUCCUGCUGCGCGAGAGUCUGUGAGCGAGCCAGUAAAGGUAUGAGUGUGAGUGGUGCGGUCAGUAAAAUAGAAAAUAAGUGGGCGGACGCGUAAAGACAAUGGGGAGGAGGAGUGGCCUAGAGCACGAGCAUAAGACCUCCGAAGGCAAUAAAUGUGUUUGACAUCAGCGACAGCAGUACAUACCCCUACCCCGGUUUUUCUCGUCUUUCUCUCGUGGUCUUUUCCUUUACUUUGCUUCCCUUCUUCCCGCGUCUUGACGUGCUCCUGCUUGUUGAUGUACGCACGUUGUCUCGCACGCCCUCAUUUCUCUUCGCUUCGCAUCUGUCGGUAUAGUUUCCUGUCCGUAUCGUCGAUGCUUUCCCCCAUUGUGUGUUUUUGUGCGUUUGUGAUGGUGGUGCCGUUUGGUUCGUGUGAGUUACUCGUUCCCCUUCCUUCUUUCUCAUGCGUGUGGUGGUGGCGGCAGUGCCACCACCCGUUUUCUCUUUCCGUGCUUCCUCGUGUGUGUCCACUUUUUGCCCUCCCUCCGUCCUCCUCUUUUCUCCCCAUUCAGUUUUUCAUCUGACUAUUAUUAAGUAACACUACCGUAAAACGGGCGCGCCUGCUGUUGUUGUUUCGCUCGUGUGCUGCCACACGUACGGAAAUAAACUCGCGAAAGGGAGGAUAAUGUGUUGGUGUUUUUGUGUAAACGAGUGUUUGUCUGAUGUUUUUUUUUUUUUUUCAUUUUGUCCCCCCCCCCCCCCAAAGGCGCUGAGCGAAGAAAAUAGAAAGCGAGGUGCGAGCGAGGAAGGGCGAGAGAAGGGUAUGUGAUACACGCACUUACAUUCAGACACGCACACACCCCGCAAGCACGCAGGAAGUGCAUGAAACACAAGCACACAUAUAUAUGCAUAUGCCUAAACGAACCAGCGCCCUCUUUAUCCAUGAAAGCAUGCAAUAACAUUGACACGGAGAGACAAGCCGUUUGAGAACAUCCGCGAAGCAAGCCUUUCGUUUAUUUGAGGUCUGCAGACAGACACACAAAAGCGCACGUUGAGCACUAAGUCGUUGAAUCAUCGCCCACGAAGCAGCAGCGGACAUCACACGCACCAUUUUACUUUUUUUGUCGCCGUUCGUUUUGUUCCUGAUGCCAUGAAACGUGACGGGCUGCUCAUCUCCCCCCCCCCACAUACACACACCCGCGCACGCGAACGAACGCAUGUGUACGGACAAGCAUAAGAAAGAGGCCAGCCUUCCCCCCGGAAGCUGCGUGCUGUCAGGCGUGUCUUUCUGUCGCCGCAGUCACACUCAUCUACACUACACUGUUGUAUUUUUUGCCCUCCCCCUCCCCUCACGGCAGCCCAUCACCACCCUUUUCCAUGGGCGUCUACGUGUCCAUACCAAUGCUACACCUGCCGUUUCUUCGCGAGGAGGGGAAGGAGACGGAGAGGGCGGACGAGCCGGGUGGCCUGCUCCCUUGCUUUCAUGCGACCGUUUCCUCAUGUUUCUCAGUCUUCUUUCACCCUCUAUCGCCUUCUCCCCUCAUCGAUGGACUCCGUCUUUUCGGUCCUAUCCCUGUCUCCUUUUUGUGUGUAUGUAUGUGUGUGUGGAGUGGGUGGGUUGGUUUUUGUUGAACUCGCACGUCACUCGCCGGGUAACACUCUUUGUAGGCGGUGCGUGUGUCUGUGUGUGCAUCUCUGAUGCUUGGCGCUUUUUCUGGCGUAUGGUAACACCGUGCUCUUAGUGGUGCUGUAUUUUUUUUGUGAUUUUUUCUUCUAGUCCUUUCGUCCAUUUUCGUGGUCUAUCUGGUGCUUAAUGUUGUGCAGUGUCUGCUGAGCUUUUCUUUCGUUUGGUCAACGGAUCGCGUAUUGCGGAUAGAGCUCUCUUUUUUUCUCUACCUCUGCCCCUCUGUCUAUCCUCCGAUGACGGAGGUAAGCGGAGGGCCAACAGCUCACCGUGCGCGGCAUCUCAGGGUCCAGUGCACUUCCCCACCCCUCCCCCCCCCGCACAAACACACACACACACAUUAUGUCUGUGUGCGGAGGAGCGAAGCGGCCCCUUCCACCCCCCCUACCUCUGCUAAUGCCGAACUACCUCCGGCCGUGACAAGAUCCAGUACCCACAGCGUAGGGAUGUCAGUGCGAUGUAUCGCUGCUGACGCCGGCGGUGUAGUCGUGGAUGGGCGCGGCUGUGAUGCGACCAGCGAGGCACUGGUGGGUAGGGUUUGAGGCAAAGGCCACGCUCUCCGAUGGCCGGGUCGGCGCACUGCUGCAAGGCGCGUCUGUGCGACUGCUUCGCACGCACGCGACGUGCCCGCUGUGGCAGCCCCGGGGGGGGGGCGGGCGAUAGUGGUGAUUGCGUCGUGUUGUAUGGAAGAAAAUUGGAAUUACGUUGAAAAUGGAAAAACAAAUAGUAUCUCUGUCUCCUCGUUUGACGGGGGCUACCGUGCUGUUGAUGUUUUAGCGCAUGCCUUCUUGGUGAUGUGCUCGCUCGUUUAUGUAGCUCUUUGUGUGUGUGUGAUAUGCUGCUAACCUCUCUUUCUGUUCUUCGCUCGCUCUCUCUUCCAUGUCGACCGUUAGUCGACCCUCCGCUCUUUCUCUCUUUCCGGUAUUGUCUGUUGUAUCUUCGUUGUUGUUGUUCGCUCGUUGUUGUUUUUCGCUCCCGGUUGUUGUGGGUUUGGCUUGUUAGGUUUUCGCCUUUUUUUCUUUCGUGCUCAUAUCUGUCCUCUUUUACGCGUUGUGGCUCUGGUGCUGGUGUCUUGAGUUCUUUUCCUCUGGUCUGUCGUUCUCUUACACGAACACCAACGACUCAAAAAAAAAAAAGAAAACAGAAAGAAAAGUGAUACUGUUGAUGUUGCUCUUUGUCAUUUUUCUCGUUGUCUGUUUCGUCGCCGUGUGUUGUUGUUUGACCGUGUGUGCGUGUGUGCGUGUGUGUGUGUAGGUGGGUGGGUGGGUGGGUCAGCGAACAGAGAGGGGCGUGUGCGCGCGUACCCGUCUCCGAAUGUCGUUCUUCUCCCACGGUUGAUUCUCUUUUUUCUUGUGUGUGUUGUUUGUCGAGUCGAUCAUCUCACAACGCUGUACUUAAACGCUUUCCUCAACAUCAACUGCCGAUAUAUCCCCGACAAGUAUUUUUUACUGCUCUCAUGCGGCGCGGAAAUGCCCCAUAGUUUCCGUUGAGCCACGAAGGUGAAUAACGCGCGGCCGUAUGAGGAUAAGCGCACGGGAAACCAGAGUUUGACGAGGGUGUCAAUGCAGAGGGGGUACAUCGGCCCCCUCUCCAUCUCUACGGACUCAUGCCUCUCUCUCUCCGAGUGUUUUGCGCUUGCCCUUACCGAAGACAUUUUGCGAUUGUUUGAAUGUCGCUUCAGUUGUUCGCGCUUCUCAUCGGCCCUGCUGCCCUCAGAGGGCCGCUAGAGGCAUGCCUUUUCGCUCACUCGCUCACCCCAUCAUCCCCUCUUUCGUAUCUCUCGCCGAUACUGCACUGCGACUCCUUCUCUUUUCUUGUUUCUCUUUGUGUGACAUCAACGCCAAUACGCUAAACAUAUACGUAG
rnacentral:misc_RNA from 1 species